rnacentral:rRNA from 1 species
GUAGGGAAUAUUGGGCAAUGGUCGGAAGACUGACCCAGCCAUGCCGCGUGCAGGAAGACGGCCCUCUGGGUUGUAAACUGCUUUUAUCUGGGAAGAAAAAGGCCAUGCGUGGCAAAUUGCCGGUACCAGAUGAAUAAGCACCGGCUAACUCCGUGCCAGCAGCCGCGGUAAUACGGAGGGUGCGAGCGUUGUCCGGAUUUAUUGGGUUUACAGGGUGCGUAGGCGGCUGAUUAAGUCAGCGGUGAAAGACUUCGGCUUAACCGUAGCAGUGCCGUUGGUACUGGUUGGCUUGAGUGUCGGAGGGGUACAUGGAAUUGAUGGUGUAGCGGUGAAAUGCAUAGAUACCAUCAGGAACACCGAUAGCGAAGGCAGUGUACUGGCCGACAACUGACGCUGAUGCACGAAAGUGUGGGGAUCGAACAGGAUUAGAUACCCGAGUAGUCC